rnacentral:rRNA from 1 species
CUGGCGGCACGCCUAACACAUGCAAGUCGAACGAAGUAGCAAUACUUAGUGGCAGACGGGUGAGUAACAUGUAGGUAUCUACCCUAUGGCCUGGAAUAACACGAGGAAACUUGUGCUAAUACCGGAUAAGUCUUUACGGAGAAAGCUUUAUGCACCAUUGGAUGAGCCUGCACUUGAUUAGUUUGUUGGUAGGGUAAUGGCCUACCAAGACUGUGAUCAAUAGCUGAUUUGAGAGGAUGAUCAGCCACAUUGGGACUGAGACACGGCCCAAACUCCUACGGGAGGCAGCAGUGGGGAAUCUUGCACAAUGGAGGAAACUCUGAUGCAGCGAUGCCGCGUGAGUGAAGAAGGCCUUUGGGUUGUAAAGCUCUUUCGUCGGGGAAGAAAAUGACUGUACCCGAAUAAGAAGGUCCGGCUAACUUCGUGCCAGCAGCCGCGGUAAUACGAAGGGACCUAGCGUAGUUCGGAAUUACUGGGCUUAAAGAGUUCGUAGGUGGUUGAAAAAGUUGGUGGUGAAAUCCCAGAGCUUAACUCUGGAACUGCCAUCAAAACUUUUCAGCUAGAGUAUGAUAGAGGAAAGCAGAAUUUCUAGUGUAGAGGUGAAAUUCGUAGAUAUUAGAAAGAAUACCAAUUGCGAAGGCAGCUUUCUGGAUCAUUACUGACACUGAGGAACGAAAGCAUGGGUAGCGAAGAGGAUUAGAUACCCUCGUAGUCCAUGCCGUAAACGAUGUGUGUUAGACGUUGGAAAUUUAUUUUCAGUGUCGCAGCGAAAGCGAUAAACACACCGCCUGGGGAGUACG